UACAAGACAAAUCAUUUUUCCUUUUCACUCCACUUCGGCCCAGCUCCCUAGCUGUCCCUCUCUCUGCACUCACUCCAGAUUUUCCUCCUUGUCGUUGAAGUCAAGCACCCACUCACCUCCCCAUCAUUUUUCUUCCUUUGUCGUCCUCUUUCUCUCUCCCUGCAACAGAUCUGCAAUUAUCUGCAGUAUUUGGUAAACACUGAUAAAGAUGGCAAAAUAAUUCAUGAGGAAUUGAAGACUGCUCUUUAAAGGGUUGGUUCGCAGUUGGCUGAAUCAGACGUUAACAUGGUGAUAGAAGUAGCCAUUUCAAAGACUCCAAGUUUCUGAUGCUUGUAAUCAAAGCUCACAGUGAGUACACCGCACCUGUUGGCAGUCAUAUCAACUUUAGUGUACUAAAACAAGAAGAAGAGAGAGUUGUGGCUAGUGUAGAGAAUGCUGCUGAGGUGUCUGAGCGUGGGAAAGAGGAGGAUGAUGCUGUGACAAGAUUGGAAGAGCUGCAGCGCUGUGUCGAAGAGUCGAAGUUGUCAGAAGAGCAGCUGAGGAUCAAUGAUCAGGUUCAGGAGGAUGAGUUGCUUGCUAUGGAGUCCAUUUUUGGAGACAGCAUUACCAUCCUUAAAAGCCAACGAGGCCUCCGAUCUUUUCAGAUUCAUAUACACAUUGAAGCUCCUGGUUGCUGUGUUCUUCGUCAGUAGCAUUGCUCCUGCAAAUUGUACCACUGAAGGUGAUUAACGGUUUUUACUUGGGCAAGCGAGUUUGGUGUGAUUGUGUUAAUUUGAAGACGCAGCGGGAGUAUCGAGCGGGAAAUCCUCAGGUCAGGAGAAUCGAGAAGGUGAUCAGGCUGCUUAGAGUAGUGGCAUUUGAGUUACAGCAUUAUUGUGAGUUUCGUUAUGUUCAUUUUGAACUUAUCAAUUUGGAAUUUGUGAUAGUAUGCUGUAAUAAGAAAUUGAGGAGUUGGGUAUUGUAAUAUUGAGUGGUGUGAGGCGUAUUACUCUGAAAGAAAAAUUUAGAUUAGUAUUAGUAUUUGUAAUUAUUCAUGCUUCGGAUUUGAAUUUCUUAUUCAAAAUUCGGGGCGUGACACCAUACCAUGCAGAAAGGUUUCAAGAUAAGUCAAGAUCCUUCUGAAUAAUGCAUUCAGGAAGGAAAAUUACUACUCAUAAAUAGUGAAUUCUCAAUCAAGCUGGCCAAUCUCAGCAUGGUAUUUACCCCCUUACCUUAUAUAAGAAGGGAUACCCCCUCAGUUAAGGCAAGUUUUUGUUCCAACAAACAUUGUAAACUCAUGUGCUUAGCAAAAUAUCCCUAGUCUACAUAUGUUUCCUUUUACCAGUUGAAUCUUUGUAAA